UACGUAGGGUGCAAGCGUUGUCCGGAAUUAUUGGGCGUAAAGAGCUCGUAGGCGGUCUGUCGCGUCUGCUGUGAAAACUCAGGGCUUAACCCUGAGCUUGCAGUGGGUACGGGCAGACUAGAGUGCGGUAGGGGAGACUGGAAUUCCUGGUGUAGCGGUGAAAUGCGCAGAUAUCAGGAAGGAACACCCCGUGGCGAAGGCGGCUCUCUGGAA
rnacentral:rRNA from 1 species